rnacentral:rRNA from 11 species
UCAGAAGUGCGAAUGCUGACAUGAGUAGCGAUAAAGAGGGUGAGAUGCCCUCUCGCCGAAAGACCAAGGGUUCCUGCUCAACGCUAAUCGGAGCAGGGUUAGCCGGCCCCUAAGACGAGCCCGAAGGGGGUAGUCGAUGGGAACCACGUAAAUAUUCGUGGGCCUGGAGAUGUGUGACGGAUGGCGGAAGUAGUUCUCACUUAUUGGAUUGUGAGGGCUGCCAAGUUGUUCCAGGAAAUAGCCUCUCCAUAUAGACCGUACCCGAAACCGACACAGGUGGUCAGGUAGAGUAUACCAAGGC